rnacentral:misc_RNA from 1 species
UCCGGGUUUCCCCAUUCGGAAAUGUCCGGAUCAAAGGGUGCUCGCGCCUCCCCGGACCUUAUCGCAGCGUGCCACGUCCUUCAUCGCCUCUCAAUGCCAAGGCAUCCGUCAGAAGCCCUUAUGCGCUUGAUCGUUCUCAGCAAAACUCAUGCAUGGGGACGAAAGCGUCGCGGACGAGGUACGAAUCCCGCCGGCGACAUCCCACACAUGCGCUUUGUAUUCAGACAAUGAUGUCUUCUCGGAUCCAUCCUCCAACGCCAGGGGGCGCGGAUGAACCCUUCAAUUCACGAUGUCAGCUUGCCGCCCUGGCCGGGGAAAGACCCCUUGGGCCGGACGGUAACUCGUUGCUUUCCGCGAUCGCGCGGGAUGUUGCUUGGUG